rnacentral:rRNA from 1 species
UUGAACGCUGGCGGAAUGCUUUACACAUGCAAGUCGAGCGGCAGCGCGGGGGCAACCCUGGCGGCGAGCGGCGAACGGGUGAGUAACAUAUCGGAACGUACCCUGUCGUGGGGGAUAACACAGCGAAAGCUGUGCUAAUACCGCAUACGACCUGAGGGGGAAAGCGGGGGACCUUCGGGCCUCGCGCGAUUGGAGCGGCUGAUGUCGGAUUAGCUGGUUGGUGGGGUAAAGGCCUACCAAGGCGACGAUCCGUAGCUGGUCUGAGAGGAUGAUCAGCCACACUGGGACUGAGACACGGCCCAGACUCCUACGGGAGGCAGCAGUGGGGAAUUUUGGACAAUGGGCGCAAGCCUGAUCCAGCCAUGCCGCGUGAGUGAAGAAGGCCUUCGGGUUGUAAAGCUCUUUCGGACGGAAAGAAACCGGGCGGGUGAAUAGCCUGCCUGGAUGACGGUACUGUCAGAAGAAGCACCGGCUAACUACGU